rnacentral:rRNA from 1 species
AUUGAACGCUAGCGGGAUGCUUUACACAUGCAAGUCGAACGAGUGGCGGACGGGUGAGUAAUAUAUCGGAACGUGCCCAGUCUCGGGGGAUAACUACUCGAAAGAGUGGCUACUACCGCAUACUAUUGGUUCGGCCGAUAUCGGAUUAGCUAGGUGGUGGGGUAAAGGCUCAACAAGGCAACGAUCCGUAGCUGGUUUGAGAGGCUGACCAGCCACACGGGGAAUGAGAAACGGCCCAGAAUCCUACGGGAGGCAGCAGUGGGGAAUUUUGGAGAAUUGGGGAAACCCUGAUCCAGCCAUCCCGGGUGUAUGAGAAGGCCUUCGGGUUGGAAAGUACUUUUGGCAGAGAAGAGGGAUCUGAAGAAUAAGCACCGGCUAAAUACGUGCCAGCAGCCGCGGUAAUUC